rnacentral:snoRNA from 1 species
AACGCAAAUUCACAGCCAUUCGCAAUGCUAACAGCAUCUCAUCGAGGUUGAACCCUUCGGGCGUUCUGACCCAUGACCUAUGUGAUAUCGUUGCAAUCAAGCUUGGACUGGAGAUUAAUUUUUACUGAUCUUGGGUGCAACGGCCCAUCUGUUGUCUGCCUUUCGGCAGAUCUAAGGGUUAACCUUCGUGUGCCCGUAUGGGGGCUGUUGCAAGGAUCAUUAAUACAUUU